rnacentral:rRNA from 1 species
UAGCUAGUUGGUGAGGUAAAGGCUUACCAAGGCGACGAUCUGUAGCGGGUCUGAGAGGAUGAUCCGCCACACUGGAACUGAGACACGGUCCAGACUCCUACGGGAGGCAGCAGUGGGGAAUUUUGGACAAUGGGGGCAACCCUGAUCCAGCAUGCCGCGUGAGUGAAGAAGGCCUUCGGGUUGUAAAGCUCUUUCGGCCGGGAAGAAAUCGCAUGGGCCAAUACCCUGUGUGGAUGACGGUACCGGAAUAAGAAGCACCGGCUAACUACGUGCCAGCAGCCGCGGUAAUACGUAGGGUGCGAGCGUUAAUCGGAAUUACUGGGCGUAAAGCGUGCGCAGGCGGUUUUGUAAGACAGGCGUGAAAUCCCCGGGCUUAACCUGGGAACUGCGUUUGUGACUGCAAGGCUAGAGUACGGCAGAGGGGGGUGGAAUUCCACGUGUAGCAGUGAAAUGCGUAGAGAUGUGGAGGAACACCAAUGGCGAAGGCAGCCCCCUGGGUCGAUACUGACGCUCAUGCACGAAAGCGUGGGUAGCAAACAGGAUUAGAUACCCUGGUAGUCCACGCCCUAAACUAUGUCAACUAGGUGUUGGGUGGGUAAAACCAUUUAGUACCGUAGCUAACGCGUGAAGUUGACCGCCUGGGGAGUACGGCCGCAAGGUUAAAACUCAAAGGAAUUGACGGGGACCCGCACAAGCGGUGGAUGAUGUGGAUUAAUUCGAUGCAACGCGAAAAACCUUACCUACCCUUGACAUGCCAGGAACUUGCCAGAGAUGGCUUGGUGCCCGAAAGGGAGCCUGGACACAGGUGCUGCAUGGCUGUCGUCAGCUCGUGUCGUGAGAUGUUGGGUUAAGUCCCGCAACGAGCGCAACCCUUGUCGUUAAUUGCCAUCAUUUAGUUGGGCACUUUAACGAGACUGCCGGUGACAAACCGGAGGAAGGUGGGGAUGACGUCAAGUCCUCAUGGCCCUUAUGGGUAGGGCUUCACACGUCAUACAAUGGUCGGUACAAAGGGUUGCCAAGCCGCGAGGCGGAGCCAAUCCCAGAAAGCCGAUCGUAGUCCGGAUUGCAGGCUGCAACUCGCCUGCAUGAAGUCGGGAUCGCUAGUAAUCGUGGAUCAGCAUGUCACGGUGAAUACGUUCCCGGGUCUUGUACACACCGCCCGUCACACCAUGGGAGCGGGUUCCGCCAGAAGUAGGUAGCCUAACCGCAAGGGGGGCGCUUACCACGGCGGGGUUCGUGACUGGGGUGAAGUCGAAACAAGGUAGCCGUAGGGGAACCUGCGGCUG